rnacentral:lncRNA from 1 species
GAUGAUUGAAACACUUGUAUCGAGGGGUGAACUUGUCGUUUAUUAACUGUUACAUUUUGCUUCCUUGAUCGUGAUGUUUUGUGCCGUAGAAAGAUUAUAUAUAUUGACUAGCUUCGUAAAGAUUUAUAGAAGUUCAUUCAUAGAAAGUAUAGAGCAAAACCUUCAUGCAUAUCAAGAGUGAUUGGAGCCUACUAGGACUCAACUAACAAAUGUAUAGAGAAAUGCUUCUUCAAAGCAUAAUGGGUUAGGUGAAUCUACCAAAACUCAUACCUUUGCAAAAAAAAAAAGAAUUAUGUGGUAGGCCGAUACUACAAGAGCAAACAUUAAAAGCAUCUGCACACAUGAAGACAUUGUAUAGGAAAUAGGGCAGACAAAAUAUAACAAGUCAUGAUAUAGGUAAUUAAGCAUAAAAGACUUAGCUAUUACAUCCCACAAUCAUAAUAAGAACCAUGUCUUACCCACACAGUUUUAAAACCAAUGCCACGAUGGGCAUACCACAAUGCAUAAUAUAGAAAGAAUAC